ACUGAGCAUCUCUCCAGCCCCAGAAAAGGUUUUGAACAAAGUCCAACAUCCUUCCAUGACACAUCUAUACUACUACUGGGAUAGCCCAAGGAUUCUGUAUCUUACAACAGAGAUAUCUUUUCAUUCAUGUUUAUUGCUUUUUCCGUUCAUAAUGGCAAGAAAAUAAGAUCUAUCAGGAGAUGAAUCAAUAAUUAUACAUAGUGAGAUUUCACUCAGCCAUAAACAAAAAUUAAGUUAUAAAAUGCCCAGGGAAGUGGGUAGAACUGUAAUUUUUCUGUUAAGUGAGUUAACACAGGCGUAGAAAUGUUCUUUCUCGUAUGUGGAUCUUAGCUUCCAGUGUGUCUAAAUUCAGGUUUGUCUGAACAAUCAUUUUUACCUCCUGAGUCAUCUGACUGGCCUGACUUCAAGAUAUUUGUUAGUUUCUUACAUAUUCUGUGAUUUCAUUUUACAUAUUCAAGUAUACUAUAUGUAGUUAUUUUAUAGUCCAUGCAUCAUAUUCCCUGCAUAUCAACCUGUGUGAGUCUCCACAUCUGUCUUUUCUGUAUGGCAGCCUGUUUGUGUGUUAAGUGACUAUUUUUAAGUUAUAGACUGUGAUGCUUACUGUUUAUUGCCAGUUUGACUGCGUUUAGAAUCACCUAGGAGACUCAUCUGAAUAAAAGCAAAAACAGGAGAAAGCCACAUGAGCAUCAGCGUUCCCCUCUGUUUUCUGAUGCAUGCAGAUGUGAGCAUUCCCCUCUGUUUUCUGAUGCAUGCAGAUGUGAGCAAGGUCCAGCUAUUAUGGGGACAAGCCACUUCUGACACCAGGCUGUUCUUGACAUGAUGGACACACAAUGAGCCUAAAGAAGACACCCUUCCUCAAGGAACUUACUUUUUGUCAGUUAUGUGGUCACAGAGAAAAGGAGACCUACAAAUUGCAUGGAGGUACUUCUCAACCUCAGCACCAUCACUGAAGUUCCGGUUUCCCACAUGGAUGGCUUGUCUCACUUGUGGGAGUGACAAGAAUUUCGAAAAGUAACUUUGGUCCUCGGGUUCCUGGCAGAAGGAUGUCUUAGCAUCUUUAGUUAACCUACUAGGCGCUGCUUUGUCCAUUUCCUUUGACAACUCAGAGGCUUCAAUCCGUCACUCAAGAUCUUGGACCAGUGAUUGGAGAGACAUCCCAUACCUUCAAGGACUGGUACGGGAAGUGUUUUAAUUUUAAUUUUCUACUGAACUUGGUUUGGGAUAGACUCCCGUGCCAUAGUCUCACGGACUCUAACCAUAGAAAGCGCCAUACUUUUCAAUAGUUUUCCCAGUCUCUGAGUGCUGUGGCUGUCAUAGCGCAUGCCUCAGACACCGUUUUGCUUCCUUCCUUCUUCAAGCCUCUCAGCUGGUCUUGCUUCAGACACUGCUUGAAAAUCUCUGUGUGCUUCUUCAAAACCAUAGUGAACGUUUCUCUCUUGCAAACUAAUCUCGCACAACAUGAAAGUUGUCAAUUCUCAAGCUUCCCUCUUUUCCCCCUCUUUUCCCACAGCAGGUAGCCUAAAGCCUACAACUUUUCUAGAAGAUACUAUUAUUGCCAGUGAAAGCUGGAUCUUACAUGCUCCCGAGACAAUCCCGCUUCCUUCGUGUUUACAGCUGCACAAGGCAUCCGGACUCCACAUUUUGCAGCCGCAUCUGGUGCCCUGACCCAGAAAGGAGAGUCUGUGCAUCCUGUCUAGGGCUGGGACCUUCCUUUCUUUCUCAAUCCAUCUGCACAGCUUGCUGCUAUCAGACUUCAAUGCAAACCACGUCACCUCCUCAAGGGAUCUCAGUAGCAUCCUGGUACCCUGCUUGUAAAAUGAGCAUCACUUUAAAUUGCUUCUUUUCUCCCCAAGUCUAUAUGUCUCUUGUUUCGAUCACAAUUGGCAUGUCUGAUGUCCCUGAAGGUCCAUUAAGAUCAGGCCUUGCUGUAAACAGUCACAAUGGCUUUAGGCACAUUAGGCACAUGAAGUGCAUGUCUAAGAGCAAGCAGAUUGAGGUCCCCAUCCCUUGCUCUAUUUACCCGGGCGUCAGACAGGAUGGUUCAAUAGAUGCAUAGCAAAAGUUCUGAGGGAAGAUCGUUUGCUUUGCCUUUGCACUGGCUAAAACAUACGUUACACCGUAAAUAACCAAAAUCCAAAGAAAAACAAGUAGGUAAAGUCUCAAAUCACAUCAUCACUCUCAUGCUCAGGUGUUAGGUUAACUGUGUAAUAAUAUUCCCCCACACUGCGUCUCUUAGAAGCUGUCUCCCAUUACACUACAUGUUGUAGACUUUGAUCCUGACUCUUGGAGGCCUAUGCCUUAGGUUACACACCAGGUCGUCUCUACGGUUGAACUACCGCUUGUGGACAUAACCCUUCUAAAUGUGUCCAAGCAUCUGCUGAAGAAGCUCAGGCAUCCACUUCCCAGGUUACCUUGCUCCUAAUUUCCAUAUGUAUGCUACAGAAUGCCUUCGGGCCCCACACAGUGUUUAAAGAAAUCAGGACGACUAAUGAGAGCCACAGUCAGAUAAGCGUGCCAGAAAGAUCUGGGGUUAAAAGUACAGCAGAAGUGAACUCAGAGAAAUGCAGGUUGUGCUUUUCUGCGUGUUCACUCAUUCUACCUCCUGAUCACAGACAGAGGAGAGGAUAGAUGCCAUCCCAAAAGCUGGAGCACCAGGGUGUGCCUCCUGACCCCUCCUCUCCUCAGAUGGUUCUAGUUGCUCAAGGGAAUCCUGGGGUCCCAGC
rnacentral:sRNA from 1 species